rnacentral:rRNA from 1 species
CGAGCGAGGUAGCAAUACCUAGCGGCAGACGGGUGCGUAACAUGUGGGAAUCUGCCUUUUGGUUCGGAAUAACACGAGGAAACCUGUGCUAAUACUGGAUAAGCCCUUACGGGGAAAGUUUUAAUGCCAAAAGAUGAGCCCGCACUUGAUUAGCUAGUUGGUAAGGUAAUGGCUUACCAAAGCAACGAUCAAUAGCUGAUUUGAGAGGAUGAUCAGCCACACUGGGACUGAGAUACGGCCCAGACUCC